rnacentral:rRNA from 1 species
UACGUAGGGGGCAAGCGUUGUCCGGAUUUAUUGGGCGUAAAGAGCGUGUAGGCGGCUUGGUAGGUCCGCUGUGAAAACUCGAGGCUCAACCUCGAGAUGUCGGCGGAAACCACUUGGCUAGAGUCCGGAAGAGGAGAGUGGAAUUCCCGGGUGUAGCGGUGAAAUGCGCAGAUAUCGGGAAGAACACCUAUGGCGAAGGCAGCUCUCUGGGACGGUACUGACGCUGAGACGCGAAAGCGUGGGGAGCGAACAGG